rnacentral:rRNA from 1 species
GACGAACGCUGGCGGCGUGCUUAACACAUGCAAGUCGAACGCUGAAGCUCAGCUUUUGUUGGGUGGAUGAGUGGCGAACGGGUGAGUAACACGUGAGUAACCUGCCUCCUUCUUUGGGAUAACGCCCGGAAACGGGUGCUAAUACUGGAUAUUCACUGGUCUUCGCAUGGGGGCUGGUGGAAAGGGUGUUUCUGGUGGGGGAUGGGUUCGCGGCCUAUCAGCUUGUUGGGGGGGUGAUGGCCUACCAAGGCUUUGACGGGUAGCCGGCCUGAGAGGGUGACCGGUCACAGUGGGACUGAGAUACGGCCCAGACUCCUACGGGGGGCAGAAUUGGGGGAUAUUGCACAAUGGGCGCAAGCCUGAUGCAGCGACGCCGCGUGAGGGAUGGAGGCCUUCGGGUUGUGAACCUCUUUCGCUCAUGGUCAAGCCGCAACAAUGGUUGUGGUGAGGGUAGUGGGUAAAGAAGCGCCGGCUAACUACGUG